GAUGAUGGUGAGGGAAAUUUUUUAGCAUACUUUUAAAUCUCUCCUAAGCUUGGUAGAGAUUCUUUGUUUUUUUUUCAAAACUAAGAAUCUCGCUUCUCAAACC
rnacentral:snoRNA from 1 species